rnacentral:lncRNA from 1 species
CUUAGCUAUACCAGAAAAUGGGGCCACAGGGGGUUGGGAUGCAUUCAGCACAGAGCAGUGGAGUCCGACAGACUUGGGCUCCAGUUCUGCCUCUGCACUUACCAGCUCUGUGGCCCUGGGCCCGAAGCUUCACCUCACUGACACUGUUUUCCAUCAUUAUAGUGAGGGUGACACUAGAACCUCCCUCCUAGGGUCAUGAGGAUGGAGUGAGGUCAUGGAUCUAAGCAUAUACAAAAGGGCUCGGUGGGACUGGCUGCUCCCCAGGCUCACCUGAGAUGUGCCGGUAUUUGUUCUUGCCUUCAGUUAUUUGGUGGGUAUUUGCUGAACACCCUGUUCCGAGUGCCCUGUGCCCAGGUGCUUAGGUCAGAGAGGCGAAUCGACCUCUUGGGGAGCCCCCCAUUUAGAAGUAUGAGACCUGUUUGAUAGCCCAUCUGGCUAAGCCUCUUCCUCUCUGGCUUCUCUGCUGUGUGUGUGCUGUGCAGGUGUCGGAGUCGGUGGGAGACUUCCAGCCAAGCUACUACCCGCCGCCUCCGCCUCCGCAGCAGCCUCAGUUCCUCCCGCCCGGCUUCCUGUCUGCGCUCCACUUCCUCCCACCGCUGCCACCGCCACCGCCGCCGCCACCGGCAUCUUUCUCUCUUGCUGUCCUGUCUGACACAGACAAGGAGACCACUGACGACCAGGAUGUGAAGGUGCCAGCACCGGCACCGGAGGAGCCGCCCGAGGUGCCGCCCGAGGUGCCGCCUGAGAAGAAGGAGGAGGGGGAGGAACCACCGCCUGAGCCCAGCCAGCCGCCCUCUCAGGAGCAGUCCGACUAGGUCCAGGCUCUCGGGCCAGCAGCGGGGGCGCUUGGGGGUGUUACAGCAAUGAUGUUCUUGUUUGAGUUCAGGGAUGGGUAGGGAGGAAAGAUAGUAGUAGGCUUAAGAGAGCAGUUAAUUUCCAUUUCAAGACAGGAAGAAGGAGGGUGAUUUCUAGGGUCCUCUCAGUCCCGGGAUGGGGGACUGAACAGGAUGGAGGAUGGUUAGCAGGGGAAGGCCAGGGCUCUGAGGAUCGGGGGGCUG